rnacentral:rRNA from 1 species
UACGUAGGGUGCGAGCGUUGUCCGGAAUUAUUGGGCGUAAAGAGCUUGUAGGCGGUUUGUCGCGUCUGCUGUGAAAAUCCGGGGCUCAACCCCGGACUUGCAGUGGGUACGGGCAGACUAGAGUGUGGUAGGGGAGACUGGAAUUCCUGGUGUAGCGGUGAAAUGCGCAGAUAUCAGGAGGAACACCGAUGGCGAAGGCAGGUCUCUGGGCCGAAACUGACGCUGAGGAGCGAAAGCGUGGGGAGCAAACAGG